rnacentral:lncRNA from 10 species
AUGAUGAGCCACUUCUACUAAAUGAAUAGGUCUGAAGCAUAGAAUGACUAGUCACUGAAUCAGAUUAGAAAACAUAAUGAACACUGCAGGAGCACUGUUGUACCAAGAAGCCUGACGGUCAAAGAAGAACUGCACUUGAUCUUACGCACAAUUAAGCACAGCACCAGACGUUAAGUACUCCAGGGCGAACAAGCAAAGACCCCACAAGGCUAAUUUUCAGAGCUAGUAAAUGAGAGAAGAGAAUACAAGGAAAAUGAAGAAAGACAAAAUAUUAGCAUCUCUGACAUUUACAGAAUAGAUGGGAGAGAAGAACCUGGAGGAAAGCUGUAAAGGGUACAUCAGAGAGGGCCUAUCUUGAGGAUUGGAACAUACGUAGUGGAUAUUCUAUUGUAUUUGCUGAGAGAUUGAUGGAAUCAAUGAUAAAUGAG